rnacentral:rRNA from 1 species
AUUGAACGCUGGCGGCAGGCCUAACACAUGCAAGUCGAGCGAGCGGCGGACGGGUGUGUAAUGUGGGGAAAACCGCGUGAUGGAGGGGGAAAACUUCUGGAAACGGUAGAAAAUCACGCAUACUAUCAGAUGUGCCCAUAUGUGAUUCGCUAGUAGGUGGGGUUAUGGCUCACCUAGGCGACGAUCCCUAGCUGGUCUGAGAGGAUGACCAGCCACACUGGAACUGAGACACGGUCCAGACUCCUACGGGAGGCAGCAGUGGGGAAUAUUGCACAAUGGGCGCAAGCCUGAUGCAGCCAUGCCGCGUGUGUGAAGAAGGCCUUCGGGUUGUAAAGCACUUUCAGCGGUGAGGCGUUACUCGCAGAAGAAGCACCGGCUAACUCCGUGCCAGCAGCCGCGGUAAUUC